AAUUCUCCUACUUUUUAAUUCCAACAACACGCCUACAACUUGACACCAUACACAUGGCAAUAUAAAAAAACUCACUCAACAAUAAAUAUUGGGCUGACUACAAAUGCGGAGGGAGGAGAACAACAACAUUCCAAUGAGGGGAUUUCGCUGGAAUAGCAAGGAAAAUCUUCCAAAAAGUUUUUUUUUCUCGAGUCGAAAGAAUUUUAAAUCUGGAGUUUUUCAGUUCGUAUUAAUACUCUCCGAUAAAUUUCUACUCAUGGUGAAAGAACAAACUUUCAUCUCUCGUCUCAUUUCCUGCUCCAAAAGAGGGAUUAGCCACGGAGGUUAAAUUUUUAUCACCAAGUUAACCUCGUCAACGAAACUCGGUGUAUAGGUUCCCAUAUCUGGUUUGCGGGUGUUGGAGCAAUAAAAUGGACUAAUAUACAGUCUGUAUAUCUAAUAUAUAUGAAAUACAAUGGGGAAAAUUUGAAAUAUACACUGAUAUAAAGCAGCGGCAUACAAAGUGAAAUGAGCCAAAGAUCCAAAAUACAGGCGGCCCAACAACUUAAUCCAGGCGUACAAAAACUACGUAUUUGGCCAGAGUUUCAUUACUUUAUUCAUUUAUAUUUAAUUUGGGCUGUAAUAAUUUAUUUAUGUAUUUAUUUUAUUUAUUUUGCUUAGAUGUUAAUUGUAGUUAGGUUUAACUUAUUAAAUCUCCCUAAAAAGGAGUUCUUAUGACUAA